rnacentral:rRNA from 1 species
AUUGAACGCUGGCGGCAGGCUUAACACAUGCAAGUCGAGCGGUAGAGAGAAGCUUGCUUCUCUUGAGAGCGGCGGACGGGUGAGUAAUGCCUAGGAAUCUGCCUGGUAGUGGGGGAUAACGUUCGGAAACGGACGCUAAUACCGCAUACGUCCUACGGGAGAAAGCAGGGGACCUUCGGGCCUUGCGCUAUCAGGUGAGCCUAGGUCGGAUUAGCUAGUUGGUGGGGUAAUGGCUCACCAAGGCGACGAUCCGUAACUGGUCUGAGAGGAUGAUCAGUCACACUGGAACUGAGACACGGUCCAGACUCCUACGGGAGGCAGCAGUGGGGAAUAUUGGUCAAUGGGCGAAAGCCUGAUCCAGCCAUGCCGCGUGUGUGAAGAAGGUCUUCGGAUUGUAAAGCACUUUAAGUUGGGAGGAAGGGUUGUAGAUUAAUACUCUGCGUUUUGACGUUACCGACAGAU